rnacentral:rRNA from 1 species
AGUGAACGCUGGCGGCAGGCCUAACACAUGCAAGUCGAACGGCAGCACGGCAGUAGCAAUACUGUGGUGGCGAGUGGCGGACGGGUGAGGAAUACAUCGGGAUCUACCCUGUUGUGGGGGAUAACGUAGGGAAACUUACGCUAAUACCGCAUAAGAACUGAGGUUGAAAGCGGCGGACCGCAAGGCGUCGCGCGAUUGGAUGAACCGAUGUCCGAUUAGCUAGUUGGCGGGGUAAAGGCCCACCAAGGCGACGAUCGGUAGCUGGUCUGAGAGGACGACCAGCCACGCUGGAACUGAGACACGGUCCAGACUCCUACGGGAGGCAGCAGUGGGGAAUAUUGGACAAUGGGCGCAAGCCUGAUCCAGCCAUGCCGCGUGGGUGAAGAAGGCC